rnacentral:rRNA from 1 species
GCAAUGCCGCGUGAGUGAAGAAGGCCUUCGGGUUGUAAAGCUCUUUUGUCAGGGAAGAAACGGUGGGGGCUAAUAUCCUCCACUAAUGACGGUACCUGAAGAAUAAGCACCGGCUAACUACGUGCCAGCAGCCGCGGUAAUACGUAGGGUGCAAGCGUUAAUCGGAAUUACUGGGCGUAAAGCGUGCGCAGGCGGUUUUGUAAGUCUGACGUGAAAUCCCCGGGCUCAACCUGGGAAUUGCAUUGGAGACUGCAAGGCUAGAAUCUGGCAGAGGGGGGUAGAAUUCCACGUGUAGCAGUGAAAUGCGUAGAGAUGUGGAGGAACACCGAUGGCGAAGGCAGCCCCCUGGGUCAAGAUUGACGCUCAUGCACGAAAGCGUGGGGAGCAAACAGGAUUAGAUACCCUGGUAGUCCACGCCCUAAACGAUGUCUACUAGUUGUCGGGUUUUAAUUAACUUGGUAACGCAGCUAACGCGUGAAGUAGACCGCCUGGGGAGUACGGUCGCAAGAUUAAAACUCAAAGG